UAGGGAAUCGUCGGCAAUGCCCGAAAGGGUGACCGCGCGACGCCGCGUGAAGGAAGAAGGCCUUCGGGUUGUAAACUUCUUUUAGAGGGGAUGAUUAUGACAGUACCCUCAGAAUAAGGGCCUGCUAACUACGUGCCAGCAGCAGCGGUAAUACGUAGGGCCCGAGCAUUAUCCGGAAUUAUUGGGCGUAAAGAGCGUGUAGGUGUUCCAUCAAGUCGGUCGUUAAAUCUUAGAGCUCAACUCUAAGGCCGCGAGCGAAACUGAUGGAAUUGAGGUUUACAGGGGCAAGCAGAAUUCUUGGAGUAGGGGUGAAAUCCGUUGAUACCAAGAGGAAUACCAAUGGCGAAGGCAGCUUGCUGGGUAAUACCUGACACUGAGACGCGAAAGCGUGGGGAGCAAACGGGAUUAGAUACCCCUGUAGUCC
rnacentral:rRNA from 1 species